CUUUAAUUCAUGUGACCUUCAAUAUGCACCCAAGGUCAAAGGUCACAGAGUGCAAAAUAAAAUUACGCUGCAAUUUCAAGCUUACAUAUUAGGAAAACGAUAAGACUUUGCUGCAUACAUACAGCGUAUAAAAUGUUCCUCUCGACGAGCUCUACAUUUUAUAUAAUAAGCCCAAAAAUGUCCGACCGUCUGUUCAAAAGUUACAACGGGAUGAUUCUUAAAAGUAUAGUAUUUUGUGUAUAUCUUUUUAAAGGUAACAGAUAUCAACCUACUAUAAACUGCAAAGAUGAUCAGUAAUUCAAGACCUUCAAUUUGAGGUCAAUGUCAGGUCAUGAUGAAAUUUCACCUUGACCUUCACAUUAUAUAUACUAUGACCUUGACCUUGUGAUAUUUGAAAGGUCAAGUGGUCCUGAGUUGAAUGGUGAUAGUCCCAUGUCUCUACGACUUCCGGUUCUCAAGUUUGGUAUUGCAUCAUAUAUUUGAUGAUUAAUUGUGACCUUGGUGAACUUUGAAAUUGUCCCAAUUCUUUUUCUAUAAAUGUUGUCCUUUAACUGUAGAUCAUUUACCAUUUAACAGAUUUGAGAUAUCUAUUGUCGUUUUAGAGAUAAUGCAGUUUGAAAUUUUGCGAGCGCGGCAUGUAUUUCUGAAUCAACAACAGCUUACCACUUAAAAUGUUUAAGAAAUUGAAGAGGUUAACAUAGUUAUAUGUUUGACCAAAUACCAAA
rnacentral:lncRNA from 1 species